UACAGAGGUCCCAAGCGUUACUGAGAAUCACUGGGUUUAAAGGGUGCGUAGGUGGUCCGUUAAGUCAGUUGUGAAAUCCCCGGGCUCAACCCGGGGACUGCUUCUGAUACUGGCGGACUUGAGGCCGGUAGGGGUCACUGGAACUGACGGUGGAGCGGUGAAAUGCGUAGAUAUCGUCAGGAACGCCGGUGGUGAAGACGGGUGACUUGGCCGGUUCUGACACUGAGGCACGGAAAGCGUGGGGAGCGAACGGG
rnacentral:rRNA from 1 species